CCUGGCAACACUUCAUUACACAACACCAGUUGCCAUGGCCACUGAAAGGGAGGCAGCAAACAGCACUGCUGCAGUGCUGGCAGGAGCUGCUCUGGCUUCCUGGCACAUGGAUUCAUGGUGCAUGGGAAGGCCAUGGGUGACAAAAUUACACGGACCUGUGAUGGAACUGUAGGAUCAUGUUAAGAACACAGCAAAAUUCUUCUGUUUAUUUUCCCUUUCCAAUAGCUAGCAUAUCUCCCUGUGACACAGCCAUUUUUUUGCAUGUUAUUGAUCAUCAGCUUAAUAUACUCUGCUCUCAGCUCACAUACCUGUCAGGAUGGUAUGAGAAUGGUAAUCACAUCUGAAAGGAACUCUGUCCAUGUAUUUUACGUACCUGAAUCAAUCUGUGUCUCAUCCAAUAGCUUAAAAAACUGCAAAGGUGAGAGCACUCAAAUUCUGUCUGUUCCAGCCUGAAGUGCACAGCGCUUUGCAAUGGACACGAUCUGCCCACCACCACAACCAUGCAAGUCAUUGUGCACCCUUACUUGGAUUAACUACAGCUUCCCAGGAAUCAGAACUCGCCAUCAUGUAGUAAUGUUGAAUGCCCUGGACAAUGCUAACUUGACUUCUGAUUCAUUCCAUUAAUUGGUUGAAACUGCAAAAUGAGAUUUUUCCAGACAAGGAAACUGCAUGCAAGCCACAUGGAGAUCUCUGAGGAAUGGGGGAAGUACAGCCAAGCUUGCACUGGGUGGGCGGAUGGAUUUUCACAAGAUCCCUUCCACGAGGUAACUUGUUCAAAGCACAGCCAUGGAACAACAGAUGAAGAGGUGCCCCAGCUCCCAACCUCUACAUUUGAGCCAAACUUGAAUAAGUCACCUUUGAGUUCUAGUUACUCUUUCCACCUCAAGCUGCCUCAAGCACAGCACUUCCCAUCUUCUUGGAUGGGUGCUCCAGAAAUUGUAAAGGCAGCUUAUGUUAAUUGCUCACUCUGGGAGGUCACAUUCACCUAUCAAACCCAUGCCAUCUGGGGCUUCUGAAAGAUUAAAAAUGAGAGACAAACAAGAGGAUUAUUAAAAAUUUAACUAUAUACCAUAUUUAUUAUCAAUCCACAGGAUAAUCUGAUUGCUACAUGAGCUCAUAAAAGCUAUUUCACCUUUACAAAAUUAAAAAAAACAAUGUGCCACAAGGAUGUCAUAACUGCUGAUAACCAAGGACUGAAUCUUAAAAUUAUAAAUUUUGCUGUAGAAAAGAUUAAAAAAAAUUAUAUUCACUUUAGAAUUUUACUUUGAAUAAAAUAUUCCCCUGUAUAAAAAAUAAAAAAGCUUGCUCUGGUUAGAAUUAGAGUAUUUUUCUUCUUUUUUAAAUCUGGGAAUUUGCAUAAUAUCUCUGUAAUAAGUUUCUUUUCUUUUUUCUAUUGUACCACGCGGCAUUCAAGCAUAGCAGAUUAGAAA